AACGUAGGAGACAAACGUUAUCCGGAGUUACUGGGCGUAAAGGGCGUGUAGGUGGUUUAGUAAGUCUGGCGUGAAAUUUUUCGGCUUAACCGGGAAAGGUCGUCGGAUACUGCUGAGCUAGAGGACGGUAGAGGCGUGUGGAAUUCCGGGUGUAGUGGUGAAAUUCGUAGAUAUCGGGAGGAACACCAGUGGCGAAGGCGGCGAUCUGGGUCGAUACUGACGCUGAGGUGCGAAAGCGUGGGGAGCAAACAGG
rnacentral:rRNA from 1 species